AUUGAACGCUGGCGGCAUGCCUUACACAUGCAAGUCGAACGGCAGCACGGGUGCUUGCACCUGGUGGCGAGUGGCGAACGGGUGAGUAAUACAUCGGAACGUACCUUAUCGUGGGGGAUAACGCAGCGAAAGCUGUGCUAAUACCGCAUACGCCCUGAGGGGGAAAGCGGGGGAUCGCAAGACCUCGCGCGAUUAGAGCGGCCGAUGCCUGAUUAGCUAGUUGGUGGGGUAAAAGCCCACCAAGGCGACGAUCAGUAGCUGGUCUGAGAGGACGAUCGGCAACACUGGGACGAGGACACGGCCCAGACUCCUACGGGGGGAAGCAGUGGGGAAUUUUGGACAAUGGGGGCAACCCUGAUCAAGCAAUGCCGCGUGAGUGAAGAAGGCCUUCGGGUUGUGAAGCUCUUUUGUCAGGGAAGAAACACCGGCUCUAACACAGUCCGGGAAUGACGGUACCUGAAGAAUAAGCACCGGCUAACUACGUGCCAGCCGCCGCCGUAA
rnacentral:rRNA from 1 species